rnacentral:rRNA from 1 species
AAUGAACGCUGGCGGCGCGCCUAAUACAUGCAAGUCGAGCGAGAAGACGUAGCAAUACGUUUGUAAAGCGGCGAACGGGUGAGGAAUACAUGGGUAACCUACCCUCGAGUGGGGAAUAACUAGCCGAAAGGUUAGCUAAUACCGCGUACGCUUCUUGGACUUCGGUUCAGGGAGGAAAGCGAUACCGUGGGUAUCGCGCUCUUGGAUGGGCUCAUGUCCUAUCAGCUUGUUGGGAGGUAACGGCUCACCAAGGCUUCGACGGGUAGCUGGUCUGAGAGGACGAUCAGCCACACUGGCACUGCGACACGGGCCAGACUCCUACGGGAGGCAGCAGUAAGGAAUAUUGCGCAAUGGGCGAAAGCCUGACGCAGCGACGCCGCGUGGGGGAUGAAGGUCUUCGGAUUGUAAACCCCUUUCGGGAGGGAAGAUGGAA